rnacentral:piRNA from 1 species
UUGCAGAGAGCCUAUAAAUGGACGUGCAA